rnacentral:rRNA from 1 species
GAUGAACGCUGGCGGCGUGCCUAAUACAUGCAAGUCGAGCGAACGGACGAGAAGCUUGCUUCUCUGAUGUUAGCGGCGGACGGGUGAGUAACACGUGUAUAACCUACCUAUAAGACUGGGAUAACUUCGGGAAACCGGAGCUAAUACCGGAUAAUAUUUUGAACCGCAUGGUUCAAAAGUGAAAGACGGUCUUGCUGUCACUUAUAGAUGGAUCCGCGCUGCAUUAGCUAGUUGUUAAGGUAACGGCUUACCAAGGCAACGAUGCAUAGCCGACCUGAGAGAGUGAUCGGCCACACUGGAACUGAGACACGGUCCAGACUCCUACGGGAGGCCGCAGUAGGGAAUCGUCCGCAGUGGGCGAGAGCCUGGCGGAGCAACGCCGCGUGAGUGAUGACGGUCUUCGGAUCGUAAUACUCUGUUAUUAGGGAAGAACAUAUGUGUAAGUAGCUGUGCACAUCGUGACGGUACCUAGUCAGAAAGCCACGGCUAACUACGUG